AUUGAACGCUGGCGGCAGGCCUAACACAUGCAAGUCGAGCGGCAGCGGGAAAGUAGCUUGCUACUUUUGCCGGCGAGCGGCGGACGGGUGAGUAAUGCCUGGGGAUCUGCCCAGUCGAGGGGGAUAACAGUUGGAAACGACUGCUAAUACCGCAUACGCCCUACGGGGGAAAGCAGGGGACCUUCGGGCCUUGCGCGAUUGGAUGAACCCAGGUGGGAUUAGCUAGUUGGUGAGGUAACGGCUCACCAAGGCGACGAUCCCUAGCUGGUCUGAGAGGAUGAUCAGCCACACUGGAACUGAGACACGGUCCAGACUCCUACGGGAGGCAGCAGUGGGGAAUAUUGCACAAUGGGGGAAACCCUGAUGCAGCCAUGCCGCGUGUGUGAAGAAGGCCUUCGGGUUGUAAAGCACUUUCAGCGAGGAGGAAAGGUUGAUGCCUAAUACGUAUCAACUGUGACGUUACUCGCAGAAGAAGCACCGGCUAACUCCGUGCCAGCCGCCGCGGUAAGAC
rnacentral:rRNA from 1 species